UUAGUGUAAAGGUCAUUGGGUCAUACUGUUUGACCAUUUUAGCCACGUAUAAAGCUUUCUACUUCUCCAUCGAUUCAUUCUUCUUCUCUCUUUCAUACGCAGGAAAGAUCUUUUUCUUCCUUCCCAAUUCAUCUACCAAACUACCCACAGUUUUUAUCUUAAAGAUAAACCUUUUGCAUAUCUAUAUAUAUCUAUAUAUAUAUAUGGACCCUAGCCACCUUCAUCAUAUGAGUGUAAGUGUGGAUUCCGGUGGCCACAGUGGUGGCGGCGGCGGUGGUGGUGAUAGGUUUCCACAAUGGAGCGUACAAGAAACAAGGGAUUUCUUGAUGAUAAGAGCGGAGCUGGAUCCGACGUUCAUGGAGACAAAACGUAAUAAGCUUCUAUGGGAAGUUAUCUCUACAAAGAUGAAGGAGAGGGGGUAUAAUCGCAGUGCUGAACAGUGCAAAUGUAAAUGGAAGAAUCUUGUUACACGUUAUAAGGGUUUGGAGAUGAUGGAACAAGAAGGUACGAGGCAACAAUUUCCAUUCUAUAAUGAGCUGCAAAUGAUCUUCACAGGUCGAAUGCAAAGGAUGCUAUGGAUGGAAGCAGAAGGCAUGGCUGCAGGGGGAUCAUCAAAGAAGAGAUCAGUGAUGCAUUUGUCUUCAGAUGAUGAGGAUGACAAUAACGAUGAGAGUGAUGUGGAUAAGGUGAUCAGUGGUAAGAAGAAGAAAAAGAAGAUUUCAAACACCACCACUUCCAAAAGCAAUCCUGAUAGUAUAAUAAUUAAUUUGAAGGAAAUAUUGGAGGACUUGAUGAAGCAACAAAUGCAAAUAGAAAUGCAAUGGAUGAAGACGUAUGAGGCAAAGGAAGAGGAAAGGAGGAUGAAGGAGAUGGAAUGGAGACAAACAAUGGAAGCAUUGGAGAAUGAGAGGAUUAUGUCUGAUCGAAGGUGGCGAGAGAGGGAAGAACAACGAAGGAUCAGAGAGGAAAAUAGAUCAGAGAAACGAGAUGCUCUUAUAACUGCACUUUUAAAUAAGCUUAGACAAGAUGAUCUAUAGGAUAAAAUUCCGUUUUGCUAAGAGGGAAAUUGUGGAAAAGCUUGGAUAUAUUCAAAGCAGAUCACUGAUGAAAUUUGAAGUUUGAUCAUCUCACCAUCUUCGACAUAUUUCUGACGGAAUGCCUAUAUAUAAACACAAUGACAGUUUUAGUGACAAUUUAUAGUGCAAGCGACAUAAAAGCCUUUAAAUUUU